rnacentral:rRNA from 1 species
AGUGAACGCUGGCGGUAGGCCUAACACAUGCAAGUCGAACGGCAGCACAGGAGAGCUUGCUCUCUGGGUGGCGAGUGGCGGACGGGUGAGGAAUACAUCGGAAUCUACCUUUUUCGUGGGGGAUAACGUAGGGAAACUUACGCUAAUACCGCAUACGACCUACGGGUGAAAGUGGGGACCGCAAGGCCUCACGCGAUUAGAUGAGCCGAUGUCCGAUUAGCUAGUUGGCGGGGUAAUGGCCCACCAAGGCGACGAUCGGUAGCUGGUCUGAGAGGAUGAUCAGCCACACUGGAACUGAGACACGGUCCAGACUCCUACGGGAGGCAGCAGUGGGGAAUAUUGGACAAUGGGCGCAAGCCUGAUCCAGCCAUACCGCGUGGGUGAAGAAGGCCUCGGUUGUAAGCCUUUGUGGAAAUGAAGUCCUGAUCGAUUAAUACUCGGUGGGAACGACGGUACCAAAGAAUAAGCACCGGCUAACUUCGUGCCAGCAGCCGCGGUAAUACGAAGGGUGUAAGCGUUACUCGGAAUUACUGGGCGUAAAGCGUGCGUAGGUGGUGGUUUAAGUCUGCUGUGAAA